rnacentral:lncRNA from 14 species
CAAGGAACUACAGGUCAUUUCCCAGCCGUUGAUCUUGUUGUAAGAAGCAGCAGCCACAAAGUUGUCUAUCUUCUCAACGAUAAUAUGCCCAGGCCUCAAUCUGCAAGUUAUGUUUUACAUUAGGUGUGUCAUCUCUGGGCUAGCAAGUUUAAAGUUCAAUCAUCAGAUGAAUUUUGUAUUUCAGGGAGCAGCAAGGGGAUCCCACAGUCUCAUGUUCUUUCUGAUGUUAUAAAGCACACUUUGGCAAUCUAGGAGCUGGCAGAGUCACCCACAGCUUUUAAACAGCACGGAUGAGAAAGUAGCCAUGUUUCUGUUGUGUUUUGGAAAUACAGGAUAAAACACUCCCUACAUAAUACAUGUUUUGAUGACUUCAAGGCUUAAGGAAGACGGAUCUAAAAGGGAUCCCCUUGCUGCAUCAUAACAGAGGAAGCAACAGCUUGUCAGGAGAAUAACUUGAAUGAAAGGAAGUAACUAAUCCAAUGAUGGACUGAUGACACCUUCGAUGCAGUACAAGGCUGCAGGAAAGAUCGAUUGGCUCAGUGCAAGAUGAAGAAUAGUCCUACUGCCAGCAGUCGCUGCCUGCCUGAGACCCAAACUGGUUGCACACAGGUCUGCCUCCAAAAGAAAAAGGUGCUGUUUGCCAGACUUCAGAUAAAAUCUAGCUGGGAGGAAUUUCAGGCAACCUUGCAGGCAUUGCUCUUGUGUCACGACAGCUCUGCUUGCACGGGAGCACCAGCCCAGAGAGCCAGUCUGCUGAGAAUUACCCGACGCAGAGAUGAGCCCAACAGAGCCCUGGAGGGGCUUGGGAUUUAGCAGAAG